AUCCAGCUAACAAAUCCCAAAUAGGAUGAAACACAUGUCCUGGAU
rnacentral:hammerhead_ribozyme from 1 species